rnacentral:lncRNA from 1 species
AUGCCCUCACGCACCGGACCAAAGCAUUCGGAAGCACAUGGAAUGCCUGAUACGCUCAGCUGCACAGACAUCUUACAGGAGGACAAAGUCCACAGGCUAUCUGAAGAGGCUCCAGCAGCCUGGGAGCCUUUGUCCAUGGAGGCCACCGGCUUCUGUCCCGCGGCAGCACCACCGGAGCCAGUGGUAAACAGCUCAGGACCUUGGUCUGCCACAGCCACAGGAGGCGAUGGGGGAGGGCCGGCUCCAGCCGCAGGCUUGGGCGAUGCCCGGGAACCUGAGGCGGGGUGGGUUGGAGCCAGCUCGGCACAGCUCACCUCCAGCGCUGGGAGGGACCGAGGCGCCGGUAGAGGCACAGCCUGCGAAGCCACAGCACCGUCCUGCUCUGCUGCCAGGGAACAACCCGGGCUCGCAGGAGGGGAAUCCUGCAGCAUGGGGCCAGCAGAACCUGGCCCAGCGUCCGCACCACUCACAGCACCCAUCCCCACGCCCCAUGAAUCCGGCGCAGGGGGAUCAGCUCUCAGAAUCGCCCCUAACAGCAUUUCUUCAGGGGCGAAAGGUCCAAAAAGCGGCGCUGGCCGCUCCUCCACUGGAAGAAGGUGCGUGUGCACGGCCGCCGGUGCGGAGCCUGGGCCUGUCCCGUCCCCCACCGCGGGGCAGGGCACAGCCCAGCUGCAGCAGGGACAUGGGACCAUCCCUGAGGCAUCCCUCAGGGCUGGCGCGGCCCCCCGUUCAGGCAGCCCCUCAUCGGUCUGUGCCGGGAGGGCACACGAAGGAGGCGACCCCACCCCGGGCUUCCACCGCCGGGGCGCUGGCCGAGGCGGCGUUACACCCCCCGGUUCCGCGGUGCCCCCUACGCCUCACUGGCAAGGAUCCAACCCCGCCUCAGCCCUAUGCCUCCGGGACGUUGGCCACGGCGGGGCUAGGCCCACUGGUCCCGUGAUGACCCCAUUCAACUCGCUGGGCGCGAUCCUGGGGAAGCCAACCUCAGGACCCGAGACACAGCUGCCCCCCAGCUCCGUGCCACCGGGGGAGAGGGAGAGCCCUGCCCCGCUCCCACAGCCAGAGCCAGAGCCAGAGCCAGACCUCUCACCCAGGGCAGAGGAAGCAGCUCUCAAUCUGGCAUAA